GCCCCGCCCAUUUCCAGGCAGCUGGCCUCCGCCGGCCUCCGACGCCCGCCACGCUCUUCCUCUAAAGGCUCACGGGAUCCCGCCUUGACCGCUCGUCCAUCGUCUCUUCACCCUCCCUGGCCCCUCCAGACUUGCGUCCACCUUCUCCAGGCCCUUCCCCCACGGCCCUCCCCUAGACCGACCUCUGCUCCUGAAACCCCUCCAGCAAUUUGGCCCCUCCCAUUGCCCCUUCGGGACCUGUCCCCCCACCCCCGACCCUCCCGCCGCUGCCCAGCGCAGGAGUGACUUUGUUCCCCGCCGUCCUCGUUGUCACCCUCCACUCCUCCAUCAAGUUGCCAAGUCCAGUUUCCGCUGGAAACUUCGUCUGCAGAACCGAGAAAGAGGAGCCAGCACGCUCACAGUCCUGCUGAAGCCUGCUGAGCGGCAUUCCUGUCCCCUCACCGAAAUCAGAUUUCCCUCUGUCUCUCUCCUUUAAGAACACUUGACAUUGGAUUUAGGGCCCACCCUAAACCCAGGAGGCUUUCUUCUUGGGGGCCUUAACUUAAUUACAUCUGCAAAGACUUUUUCCAAAUAAGGCACAUUCUCGGGUUCGGGUAGAUACAUCUUGGGUGAGGACCAAGUGGCCACAUUGGAUUGUGACCCAAACGGACGUACACCAUGAGCCCUUACUUAACCGAGGGUGCAUUUCAAUGGCACAGUGGCUGUCAGGGGCCUCCUUACUGGAGAUGAAAAUGAGACAGACAGCAGCGUGUGGGCUCUUGGCAGGAUCCAGGAGGCCUCUGGUCCGGGCACACACGGGAGAUGGAGACCCAGAGAGGUGCGACCUCCCAGAGAUCAUGCCUGUGCUGCCCUCUGCCUAGAACGCCCUCUGACCCUCAAACUCAGCUCAGGCCCUCCCUCACCAGAGGGAAGCAGGCAGGCUGGCUGGCGAUGCACGUCGUCCUCCUGCUGGAGCCCCGUCUGUCCUCCUGCACCCGGAAUGACCCUGUCGAUUCUGCUGCCGCUGCUUACAGAUCUUUUCUUCCUCCUUGGCGACGCUCUUCUGCUCACAGAGUACACUGAUUCAUGGGAUGGAGCUGGAGCCCUUCCUCUUGAGCUACGGACCACAGAAAUAGCACAGAUCACAGUAGUAUCGGCAAUUUUGUCACCGGCGCCCACAGGGGGCCUGGCAGGCGGGACACCAGCCCUGCCUCCUCUGGCACUUUCAGAGUCAGGUCCUCGAGGCUUGUCUGGGGCCCAACUCCUCACACCCAUGGCAUCACCAUCCAUCACACCCCAACGACUGCGCAUGGCUGCCUCGCCUCCAGCCCUCGCCUUUGCUGCACCCAGCUGACUGCUUGACAAGUUCACUGACGCCUGAAAGGACCCCUCAGCCUGGUCCCCAGGUCUCCUCCUCCUGCAGGGCCCCCUCACAAUUGCUCGAGCCAGAAAUCUAGGGUCUUCCCACAUGUCCCUAUCGCACUCACAUCCAAUCCAUCUGGUGGUUUUAUCUUCUAAGCAUUCUCAAGUUCCUCCACUCCACCCCAUCCCCACUGUCACCACCCUAAUCCAAGCCUUUGGUUCUUUCGCCAAAACUCUUUUAAUGAUAUAUUUG
rnacentral:lncRNA from 1 species